rnacentral:rRNA from 1 species
UACAGAGGUCUCGAGCGUUAGGCGGAAUCACUGGGCUUAAAGCGUGUGUAGGCGGAUCCGUAAGUACCUUGUGAAAUCCCACGGCUUAACCGUGGAACUGCUGGGUAUACUGCGGGUCUUGAGCCACCUAGGGGCGAGCGGAACAGAUGGUGGAGCGGUGAAAUGCGUAGAUAUCAUCUGGAACGCCAGCGGUGAAAACAGCUCGCUGGGGGUGUGCUGACGCUGAGACACGAAAGCCAGGGGAGCAAACGGG